rnacentral:lncRNA from 1 species
UAUCUACAAACAAAUGAAAGCCGACAUCUUUGGACAUGAUCCUCUGAGGAUUUGGCCUAGUUUCGUUUUGUCUCUAGAUUAUGUAACACAUUUGUCUUUACUUCGUUGUAUUCAAAUGUCACCCGAAUGUGUGAGUAAUAUAAUUUAACGUUUAAUUCCUAGGUAAAUGUCAGAUGUUAGAUUCAGUAUUUGUAUUGUAUAAGCAUUAUGCAUGGCUGACUUUAAGCAGUAGACUCCAAUAUUUUAGAGUUAUCCCCCUUCCAUUACGUUCUAAUUUGUCACUUGUAGGUCAGUUACCUGUUGAGUCAGUGAUUUCAUUUGAAAGCGAACGCCGUACUUUAUCAAUCAUUGAAAUAUUAUUAUCUGAUUUUGUGACAGAAUAAAACAGCUGAAAUUCCUCAAGGUGACAUUUUUGUCAAGUGACAAUUAAUGUCGUCGGUACCUGAUAAGUUGCAUUAUAAUCUUUAAUAUAUUUGUUCAGGAGUUGUGCAUAUGCUGACAAAGCAAUUCAUUAGGGUCAUUGAUGAAUGAAGGAAAAUGAAUGGAAAGCUUAUAUGUAAAAUGUUCUUGGUAUUUCACACUUAAAUCACCACACACAAAUGCUUGAAGUUGAAGGGUGUAUUCAAUGGUCUAUAUAUAUGUACAGCGUUUAAGGGUAUACAAGUGUGGAGUUUUUAACAAGUGGUUAUUAUUACUGUUUAUAUUUCAUUAAUUAAGAUGGAUGUUAUUUGUUUUCUCAAUAUAAUGGUAAGUCAGUUUAGAGGGUCUGUUUGGUGGUUCACUGUGUGUUUAUAGCUCAGAGAUAAGGGUCCAGUAGCUGAGUAGAAAUUGAUAAGGUCAAAGGUUAUGAGCCUCCCUGGUACAGCAGUAGGGCAGAGACGUGUUUAUACGUCUCUGAGUAGGGUUAUAGUUAUAAAUAGGCGGGUGGUUAUUCUGAGGGGAUGAGAUAUAAAUAGGUGUGUGGUCGUUCUGAGGGGAUGAGAUAUAAAUAGGUGUGUGGUCAUUCUGAGGGGAUGAGAUAUAAAUAGGUGUGUGGUCAUUCUGAGGGGAUGAGAUAUAAAUAGGUAUGUGGUCAUUCUGAGGGGAUGAGAUUAUAAAUAGGUAUGUGGUCAUUCUGAGGGGAUGAGAUAUAAAUAGGUAUGUGGUCAUUCUGAGGGGAUGAGAUUAUAAAUAGGUUUGUGGUCAUUCUGAGGGGGAUGAGAUAUAAAUAGGUAUGUGGUCAUUUUGAGAGACUGGUGUACAUGUAUUAAUAGGUAUGAGGUCAUUACUGGAGUAAAUGGGAAGGGCUUGCAUAUUUAAUGAGUUGGUCAGUUGUUGGUAUUAAUAGAUUUUUCUACCUAUACAUCUUGUUCCAUUAUUAGACACGAUCCCUGUAUUUAGUACUAGAUGUUUGUAUUUAGAUGUAGCUCUAUCUUUAGUUUAUCUUGUCUCUAGUUAUAUUUAGUAUAUGAUGUCAUUGGCUAAGUUUAGUAUGAGUUUGAGUAUAUUUAGAAUAUGAUGUCAGUUCUUAAAAUAGUUGUGCCUAUAUAAAGGGCUGUUAGGGAGUUCAACGGGGAGUUUUCGAGUAGAUUGAGAAGAGAGAGAAUCCUAUGGAGAGGAUGAGUAAUGACUCGGAGAGUAUUCGGUAGACUUGCGAGGAGUCUAGUGGAGUAAUUUGUAGUGUAUAGAGUAUUAGUUAGUUGAAUUAGUUGAAUUAGUGUAAACCUCAGUUGUUAUUUAGUUAUAUUACUUUUGUGGGAGGGUCGGUUGUUUACUUCUCACAUUUGUAUUACUUUGUUAAGUAUGAUUGUUGUUUAUGAUUUAGAGACAGGGAUCUGUUACUUUCUGUGUUAUUCACCCUUAUGUAGGGUAGGGCUUUUCGUUCAGUGUAGGAUUCCUGGCGAUCAGCUGCUACGAUACCGGUGCUGAAAUCUGUGUGUUUACACUUUUGAGACGGCCGGAAGUGGGUGAUAGUAAUAACAGGAAUAGGUUCCCGCUCCUCGCUCACAUGCUUUUAGAUGGUGAGGCUGGGUUCGAGAUUAACAGUUGGUCACUCAUCUUCGAGGCUAUUUGGUG